AGUAAAGUGCCUGAAAAAGGAUUAUCUUGAUAGGGUAAAUCAUAUAAGUCAAUCUUAUCUUUACUA
rnacentral:tRNA from 1 species